ensembl:lncRNA novel transcript
GGAACCCAGGGCAGCAGGUGCAGCCCGCGCCACUAUUCCCAGCCCCAGGGACUUGAUAUAUGCAAAUGCGGGGGCCAUCAGGCCAGGGACAAUAGAGCCUCUUAAUCCCCCCAGGCAAUGGGAGGGGGAGCACUCUCGUCCACACCCCUCCCCCCUUGCCAAAGCUGAACUCGAAAUGGAGCAUCCACAGAAUGGAGAUCUCCUGCACAAGCCAGGGAUUCUUUUUCCUCAAAGAGCACAGCUCUGGAGUGAGCUCUGUGAAGGCAGCACAGAUGCCUGGAAGGACCCUCUACAGAAGCCUUUGCUCCUGUGUGUUUCCGCUGCAUAGCCCAACCAGACCUCCAUCGCCGGCAUCAGCCCCCAAGGGCUUUCUCCUGCUCUCCCCAACUAGCAGCAACGCCUCCAAGCUCAUGCCUUAUUAUUUAUUCCACCGAAGCAGAGGAGUUGACAACAGCAAAAUCUCUGUUCUUAUCCUACUUGGCUGUGAACUCGGCAGGUGAUUCAGGAGAGCAAGACAAAGCUGCAACAUCUUUUGUGACCAAACCUCAGACAUGACACACCAUUAUUUCUGCAGUAUCCUGUUGGCUACACAGAUCCACCUUAUUUCAUGUGGAAAGACUCUAUGAAGGGCAUGGAUCCAGGGGGUAAGGAUUGAGGGCCAUUUGAAGGCUGCCAGCCAUAGGUCUGUUUGCUUCUCUGUGCUUUAAGAUACUCAAUCUGGAUAAUUUCUGAGGUCUUUUCUGACCCCAGUAUUUUAUGGGGAUAAUUUCCAUGGAUAUUCAUGUUCUAACAGGGAUUCUGGUUUUUGUCAUUACUGUUGUGCAUUAAGGGCAUGAGAAGAUGGGAAGAAGAGUAGAAUGUAUCCCUGGCACCCCUUAAGACAAACCACAAAAAAUGCUACUAGGCUUCCACUGAAGGUGAAAAUCCUGACUAUAGGGAUGAGGGGGCUGGGGCGAGCUCUAGGCUUUUAUGACUUCCCUAAUUAUGAUGAACUUUGCAAGAUUGAGCUUGCUGAAUAUUCUGACAUACCAACGUUGCCUUCUCUAUUGCUCCUGGGACUUCUCCAAGCCACAUGCAUACCAGUGUUAUCAGCAGGGAAGUGUUCUGAGGGGGCAUCCUGACAAUAUGGCAUUGUCCUGUGGGACUUAUAAUCAGGUUCCAACAAUGACCUUUUAUCCCGUUUGUUUUUCGCUGGGUUGGUGGAUGCGCCUCAACACAGGCUUAUGGGGAAUGUUUGGGCACACCUGCUUCCACACUGCUUUUCUGUCGUGUCUCCAAGAUUUCUGUGCAUUGCUUUCCAGCCAUGAUUGGCACCAUCCUGGCUGUGUCCUUCAGAUGGAAUGUUGUUUUAGGGAAGUCCGGGGGCUGGGGUAGGGGGCAGGUUGGCAACGGAAGUCCUCAUGAGCAGCUGUGAUUUGUGGCAAAGAAUGUUUCAUAGUGGAAUUUUCCCCAGCACAGCUCCUUCUACAACUCAGCAUGGGAUGGAAUAAUGUUGUAAAAACCCAGAGAAAAAAGAAAAGGAUAUUGUACACCAGCCAGGGUUAAGGGGAAGAGAUCUUUCAAAGUUACAAAAACAUUCUAAAGGAAAUGCAUCAUUGAAUCACAUAUGAUUAUUUAGAAAACCUGAUUUCAAAACCUGAUGUCUUACUCUCUAUGUGACUUAGGCAGGGACACAGAAUCUUCGUGUUUCCUCAUCUAUCAAAUGGAGACUAAUCUUUAUUUGCCUAACAGCGUUGCUGUGAAGAUCAGAUGAGAAGUUUAUAGUUAUUUAAAAGGACAUUUGAACACAUUAAUAGCUGCAGAGGGGGAGGACAUAUCGUUAGGAACAAAGCUUUGCAAUUCACUAGCUCUAGAUUCAAAUUCAGGUUCUGCAGUUUAGCUGUGACUUAGUUUCAUGCUUCUCAAACUUUCUUGUGCGCAUGAAUCACCUGGAAGCUGUGUUAAAUUUUUGCAUGUUCUGAUUCAGAAGAUCUGGAGUGAGGCCUGAGACUCUGCAUUUCUAGGCAAUUCCUGUGCUGCUGGUCCACACUGGGAGGAGCAAGGAGUGAAACUCCCUAACACAAUGAUUCUCAACUUGCAUUGCCAAUUUAGAAGCAUCUGGGAGCUCUACAAAGUCCCAAUACCCAGGUUGCAUCUCAGAUCAAUUAAAUAAAAAUCUCUGGGGAUAAAAGGCAACAUCAGUAUUAGUGCUGAGACUUAAUUUUUUUACCCUGUAAAUUAAAAAAAUCAUAGUCCUCCUUUAUAGGCUUGUGCUGGGAUUCCAGGUUUAUAAUACUCUUGCUGUAUUCUGUUUCAUUAAAAAAAAACUCUCAACAA